GAGUUUGAUCAUGGCUCAGAAUCAACGCUGGCGGCGCGCUUAACACAUGCAAGUCGAGCGAGAAAGGGAGCAAUCCUGAGUAAAGCGGCGCACGGGUGAGUAACACGUGGAUGAUCUACCCUAUGGUGGGGAAUAACCUUGGGAAACUGAGGCUAAUACCGCAUAAGUUCGAGAGAAGAAAGCCGAAAGGCGCCAUUGGAGGAGUCCGCGGCCGAUUAGCUAGUUGGUGGGGUAAAAGCCCACCAAGGCGACGAUCGGUAGCCGGCCUGAGAGGGCACACGGCCACACUGGCACUGAAACACGGGCCAGACUCCUACGGGAGGCAGCAGUGGGGAAUCUUGCACAAUGGGGGAAACCCUGAUGCAGCGACGCCGCGUGAGUGAUGAAGCCCUUCGGGGUGUAAAGCUCUUUCGGCAGGGACGAUAAUGACGGUACCUGCAGAAGAAGCUGCGGCUAACUACGUGCCAGCAGCCGCGGUAAUACG
rnacentral:rRNA from 1 species